rnacentral:rRNA from 1 species
AAGACCUUGCACUUUUGGAGCGGCCGAUGUCUGAUUAGCUAGUUGGCGGGGUAAUGGCCUACCAAAGCUUCGAUCAGUAGCUGGUCUGAGAGGACGGCCAGCCACACUGGGACUGAGACACGGCCCAGACUCCUACGGGAGGCAGCAGUGGGGAAUUUUGGACAAUGGGCGCAAGCCUGAUCCAGCCAUGCCGCGUGAGUGAAGAAGGCCUUCGGGUUGUAAAGCUCUUUCAGCCGGGAAGAAAAGGUUGCGACUAAUAAUCGCAAUUCAUGACGGUACCGAAAGAAGAAGCACCGGCUAACUACGUGCCAGCAGCCGCGGUAAUACGUAGGGUGCGAGCGUUAAUCGGAAUUACUGGGCGUAAAGGGUGCGCAGGCGGUUUUGUAAGUCAGAUGUGAAAUCCCCGGGCUUAACCUGGGAACU